GAUGAACGCUAGCGGGAGGCCUAAUACAUGCAAGUCGAACGGUAACAGGAUAGCAAUAUCGCUGACGAGUGGCGCACGGGUGAGUAACACGUACACAACCUGCCUCAUACUGGGGCAUAGCCUCGGGAAACUGAGAUUAAUUCCCCAUAAUAUUACGACAUGGCAUCAUGUCGCAAUUAAAGAAUUUCGGUAUGAGAUGGGUGUGCGUCUGAUUAGCUAGUUGGCGGGGUAACGGCCCACCAAGGCAACGAUCAGUAACUGGUCUGAGAGGAUGAUCAGUCACACGGGCACUGAGACACGGGCCCGACUCCUACGGGAGGCAGCAGUAGGGAAUAUUGGACAAUGGGCGCAAGCCUGAUCCAGCCAUCCCGCGUGAAGGAUUAAGGUCCUAUGGAUUGUAAACUUCUUUUCUCUGGGAAUAAAAACCGGUAUUUAUAUUGGCUUGAAGGUACCAGAGGAAUAAGCACCGGCUAACUCCGUGCCAGCAGCCGCGGUAAAAC
rnacentral:rRNA from 1 species